rnacentral:rRNA from 1 species
UACGGAAGGGGCAAGCGUUGUUCGGAAUCAUUGGGCGUAAAGGGCGCGUAGGUGGCUCUGUGUGUCUACCGUGAAAGCGUACGGCUCAACCGUAUUUUGUCGGUAGAAACUGCAGGACUUGAGGCUGGGAGGGGCUGGUGGAAUUCCCUGUGUAGCGGUGAAAUGCGUAGAGAUGGGGGAGAACACUCGUGGCGAAGGCGGCUCUCUGGGACGGUACUGACGCUGAGACGCGAAAGCGUGGGGAGCGAACAGG